GACGUCACCAACCAAUAGUAAGAUGGCGGAAUGUGUUGUUUUGAUGUUUGAGAGAAAGAAAUGUUAGACCAAAUAAUUAGAAUAAGAAUAUGGAAACCGUGUAGUGCCGCAGCCGUAAAGAUUCAAAAUUCCAUUGACGGCUUCCAAUGUCCUGCGGGAACAACUGUCCAGCCAAUGCUGGAAAUUGUCAGCCAAAUCAUACCGAAAAUAAUAACAGUAAUAACAGCAACAACAAUAAUAAUGUUAGUUUUGAAGAAGCGGAAAAUUCGAAACAAGUUGUCAGUUUAGAAGUAGAGGAUCAGACCGUAGCGGAUAAAGUACCGGUAAGCCAGAUAAAAGUAUUAUUUGUAGAAAGAUCGUUGAGAGAGGAAUAAACGAUAAAUUUUUUUGAAUGGCCUUCUGUGAGAAAAACGUAUAAUAUAAUGGACAGAUUUGUCUGAGGACUGACAUCUGUCUUCCAUUUGGUCUGUUCGCGUCAUUUCCUCCUCUCUUCCCGCCUAAAUAGUAAAUAGUCUGUUUAAUUUUAAGAUCUGGAAAAAUCUGAAUUAAAUGUAUCUGGGUGAGAGAGCGUGAGAAACUCGCUUCCCAUUCCUCACAAUUAUAAUCCUUGUAUUAAUCUAGGCGUGGUCUUUUUGUUAAUUUUUGAAAACGAC
rnacentral:lncRNA from 1 species